UUUGGUGGCGACGGCGGAGGGGUUCCACGCGUACCCAUCCCGAACACGACCGUUAAGCCCUCCAGCGCCGAUGGUACUUGGACCGAAGGGUCCUGGGAGAGUAGGACGCCGCCAAGC
rnacentral:rRNA from 1 species